AAAAUUAGUUUUAAUUAAACAAAGCUUACACAGACCAGGAGGCCAUGUCAUCAGGUUUCAUACCUACAUCAACUCCAUCCCCUAUCUCAUCAGGUUUAUGAAGCAACUCAAAAUCUUUGCUUAGCCUGGGUUCCAAUAUUAUAGUCACCUGAGCAAACGACUCCUUGCCCGGUCUCACUACUUCUCCAUCAACUCCUAUUCUAAUCUGAAUGUAAUCCACUCUUCUCUUUUCAGCUAGUC
rnacentral:lncRNA from 1 species